rnacentral:snoRNA from 10 species
CUGAGCGCGAAGCAGGCAGUGAGUGAUGAUGCAUUUCAUCUGCUCCUUGCCAUUGAUGACCGUUCCAUGCUCUCUAGUGGAGCCUGGAGG